rnacentral:misc_RNA from 1 species
GUAUUGUAUUGCGUUAAACGCGACAUUCAUUCCAUAAGACUUUGUUACAGUGUGUGUGUAAAAACGUAGGACCACAGCAAGGGGACGGUGUCCUCCAGGCCAUAGAACUACAGAGGGUGCACAGGUGUGAGUGGAUGUGUAAACAGAGCGUGCACAUGCCCCUGGUUUGGGGACCAGCAACAACUCGUGUUGACAGUUCGGUAAUGAUCCUUCCGCAGGUUCACCUACGGAAA